AAAUCAAUAAUUCUCUUUGUCAAUUUUUUUUCAUCAGGUUUAGAAUUUAUGGAAGACUAGCUACAAACUGACAAAGCUAUUUUGUCAACUAGACUUGCAUAGCCUUUUGAAAGUGCCCACAACUAUGAAAACAAAAGCUGAAAAUUUUAAAAUCAACAUGUCACUUAUAAAAGCUCUCUGUACGCCUGGGAUUUAGCCAAGACUCUGGAAUAUGAUGAGUCAAAAGGUUCUGCUGGAGGAUCACAUUGUGAAAACUACAGCCAUGAAAGUCCCUCCAUUUAUUGCACCCUUCAAAAACGAAAUAUUAGCAUGGGAGGCUAAGCUGCGCGACUAAUGCAGGAGAUUAUGGAAACCUGGCUGCAAGUUCAAAAGGCCCUGGUGAUGCCGGGAACCCAUGCUUUGCUCACAAGAUACAUGUAACCAAAUAUCAGUAGAAGGAAAGCACUUUGAAGUUGUCAGUAGGAACUGGAGGCUAAUAAUGAAGGAGUCAGUGAAGGAGGCCAAUGGCAUGAGGGUUAUCUCACAGCCCCAGAUGCUGGAUAAGUUGAAGGAGGCAGAAUCGCUUUUGGAUGACAUUCAGAAAGGCCUGAAUGAUUAUUUGGAGAAGAAAAGACUAUUCUUUCUAAGGUUUUUUUCUUUCUGUGCAAUGAUGAGCUCUUAGAAAUCCUUUCUGAGACAAAGGAUCCACUCCGAGACCAACCACACCUGAAGAAAUGCUUUGAAGGAAUUGCCAAGCUCACUUUUAAUCAUGAGAAAGAAAUUACUCACAUGGAGUCAGCAGAAAAUGAAAAAGUAGAGCUCGUGCUGCGAAUAAUUCCAGCAAGUGCCAAGGGGCUAGUUGAGAAAUGGCUUCAUGAGGUGAAUAUCUUUAGAUCUUACUUAGGGUUUAGUUACUGUAUAAUCAUUUUCUCUUUUAGGAGCAAGGAAUAUCAUAAGCAUAUUUCCUAAGUAAAUAGCUCUCUGAGAAUUUAUCAGAUUAUUUGACAGAUUGAAUAUCAGCCUCAUUGUUGUUAUUUAUUACAACUAAUUGACACGUGCAAUCAUGCACAAAUUAAUUUUAAUAAAGAGGUUAUCAGUGUGUGAGACACUUAAUAAAAGUGUGUGUGUCUGAAACCAUAUAUGUGACUAUAUGUUCAAUUCUAUGUAUAUGUAUUUUUGUUGUCUUCUCCCUGUAAUUUUUAUAGUUUGGAAAAAGAGAUUUUUUUACAAAGCAGUUUAAAGGAACGUGAAGAGAUUUUUUUACACGCCCCCUUCCCCAAAAAAUCUUAAUUUUCAAUAAUAUUAAGCAAAGGGAAGAGAAAUAUUUAAUUGACAAUAUAUUAACCUUUCCCCUUUGGGCCUAUGAUCCAAAUUAAUCAGUUUCAGUGUGAAAUUAGUUUGAUGAUCUUUAUUGUUUGCUUUAUUUUUACCUUCUUCUGUUACACAAUCAAAGUGGGUCCUUCCUCUGAUAUACAAUUCUAGGCCAAGUCCACUUCCAAUCCCUCCUUCCUUCUUUCAAGAUAGAAUCAGCCCCAGGUACACAUCUUUCCUUUCUGUUGUUAUUGCAGGCACUGCUUUUACCCCAUUAAAUCUGUCCCUUUACCUCUUGCCUCUUCUCACUUCAGGCUAUCAGCCAACCAGGGUCUACAACUGAGAAAAACAAUACCUUAUAUUAGAAAAGGGAGAAAAGGAAAAACAAAAACAAAAAACACAGAGAGAAUGUUCUUUCCAAGGUGGAUUUUGUGGUGCGGGGGGAAGGAGGGGAGGAGAAAUUUGUCAAAGGAACUGAGAGUGAACUUUCGCUAAGAGUAUUACUUCUGUUAUGUGCCGAGUUUCUGCUGGCUGGGUGAGCAAAACAAAACAGCUCAAGUCCUCUCAUGAUUCCAUGUUUCCCACAUAACUGAGCCACAUAUCACCAUGCCAACUUAGAAUUAAUCUUUUUUAAAGUGACUGCACGCAAUUUAAAACAGUUCAUCACAGUUAGUCAGGGGAGGGUAAGGACAGAGCCUACUUAGGCACAAAUACCUCCUUCCCUACUCUCCAAAGACAAUUAUUACACUUCAUUUUUGUACUCAUUUUCAGCACAACGUUAUGUUCUUUGGAAAAACAUUGGAGCUAGAGAGCUGUGGUAGGUAUGAGAUAUGCAGUUAUGAGGAGCCUAGGAAAGGCAGAUCUCACCAUACCGGAAAACCUGCAGUAUGUUGUUUAGUUCUCUCUCUCGCUCUCGCUCUCCAACAAAAGAGAGAAAGAGAGAGAGAGGGAGAUGAGCAGCUGUGUUUAUUUUAAUACAUCUCAUUUAACCCUCACCUAAAAACAAAUGGAAAGGUUGGGAGUGCAUUAAUCUGGACCCAAUUAGCAUCUCUUUCUCCCUCAAAAGUGCAACCUGAGAUUGAUGAAUAUAAAAUAGAGUUUCAUAUGCAGUCUUUAAAUCAUUUGCAUGUUUUAUGCAUGAUAAUUGAAUUUAUUUAUGCACUUCCUUUCAUUUAAUAAUUUCCUGCUCUUUCCUGUGCUAUCCACAUUGUACUAUCCAAGAAAUAGGAUUUCAUAGUCAAGCAAGGAUAGGAGUAUAUAAAUAAAACCGAGUUAAUUUUUAGGUCUAAUGUAAACUGUAAAUAAAAAUUAAUAUUUGUGUUACUUUAAUUGGGUUAAUGUAAAAUAUUUUAGUUAAAGUAUAUACUUUUAGCCUUUUCAGACACUUUGGAUAUUGCUUAGUAUGCUUGUAAGUGUACAAGCAAAAUUAUUUUCAAAAGGCCAUGAAAGGCAGUUAAAUUAUUGUAUUGACAUUUCUAUGACCCUAGAGACUUGUGUUUCAACUUGGCCAAUUAGUAGUAAUAGUAGUAAUAAGAUAAUCAGAAGAUGAAUAGUAAUUACAUUAAUAACUAAUGGUAUUCAGCCCAGGACCUUGAGAAUCAGUCUGGUUUAGAAUAUAAUAGUACAUUAUAAUUUGUCUUAUUCAGUAUUUGAUCAGUAGAAAUAUGAGCAUUGGCUGCCUAGUACAUUUAUCAUAGGCAGGAUGUACAAGUUAUAGAGAUCAGUUUGCCACAUUACUGGCCCUGUGAUUGUGCCUGUAAAGUGCCAUAAUGGGGAAAAUUGCUUUUUUUCCCCAAUUAAGCUCAGAUGUCUAGUGAUUCCAUGGUGCUGGUGUCUGAAUUCUUUGCAAUGCAAAGUCCAUCCUUGUGAUGGUCAUGCCAGGAAGCUACUUGGGAAAGGAUUUUUUUAAACAAGGGAUUCUGGUAGUGUUUCUCAUAGUUUUGAUUUGUGCCAGUGCUUCUCUUGUCUCUUGUCUUUCCGUCUGUGUUUAAAGAUGUAUGUGGAAGUGAUCUUUUUCUGUGGCGUCCUGUCUUUUUCAGUGACUUAAUUGGUUUUGUGUUGUGAUUGUUUCCUGAUCUUUGUAGGUAGGAAUGUCUUUAAAGGCUAAAGUUCUGUUAAUUUGUGAUGUAACAAUUUCAGUGUGUUUCUUGUCAUUGAAAUGUAGUUUAAAAUGUUCAGUAAUGUAGCAUGAAAUUAUUGGUUAGUUUUGAAAUGGUUGUGAAAUCAUGUGAAGAAAAUAAGUAUUGCAUCUGAUCAAGAUAAAUUCACUCUAGUGUUUUAUGGCUUUUUAUUCCUAUGUGAUAGUAAUAAAGUCUCAUGUAGGGAUGGAAGCCAUGAAAUACAUUGUGAAAAAUCAUCAACUAAGAUGGGGCCAUGAGUAUAGAAAAAGGUAUAGUUGUAGAGCUAUUGAAAAUUGUUGGGAAAUGAUUUAGUAUGUCACCAUGUUGAUUACCAUGUUUGCAUUUUAUUUCUUCAUCCCUCACCCAUGUAAUUUGGCAAGUAAGGAAAUUAGUUUAUAACAGGUUGAUUCACCUUUACAUCAGUGUUAAAUGUUUAAAUUGUUUAUACAUUUUUUUAAAUUUUCUACUCAAGAUAACACUGUACAUGAAACACUAAACUAAUUAGUUAAUACUGUAAAAAACCAACAAAACGAAACAAAACCCCAACUUGUGAAUUUCCAAAUUCAUGUUAUUGCUACCUAAAUUAAGAAUGAAACAAACUAAGGUAUCCCAUUAGUCCAUGGUCCAGGUUUUUUUACUCCCACACUCAAUAAUAGACCUGAAUGAUGAGCUAGCAUGUAAAUAAUAAUUCUUUUUCUAUUGACAUGUUUUUCUGAAAAUAUACAUUCUCUUCUCUUUUUUUCCUAUUCUGGAAAUAAAGCAAGGGAUUAUAGCUCCGAGGGCAGAAAAAUCACCUGUGAGAAUGUUCAUAAUAGUGCCAACAUCCCAUAUAUUGCUUUACUAUCCAAGUUUUGUCAAUCUUUGUAUAUCUUUCUGUCUUGGGUGUCAUUUUGUUUGUGGGACACUUCUGUGAAUGUGAGUCAUUCUUAUAUAACUAAUUUAUUUUUACAGUCUUCUUUCUGUAUUCCUUCUCUAAUGCAAAUUAAUAAAAAUAUUUUUGUUA